UCGAGGAUCUUCGGCAAUGGACGCAAGUCUGACCGAGCGACGCCGCGUGCGGGAUGAAGGCUUUCGGGUUGUAAACCGCUGUCAGUGGGGAGGAAAUUUAUGAGGGUUCUCUCUCAUAAUUGACCUAUCCGCAGAGGAAGCAAGGGCUAAGUUCGUGCCAGCAGCCGCGGUAAGACGAACCUUGCAAACGUUAUUCGGAAUCACUGGGCUUAAAGGGUGCGUAGGCAGUGCAGAAAGUCGGGUGUGAAAUCCCUCAGCUCAACUGAGGAAUUGCGCCCGAAACUGCUGUGCUAGAGGAAUACAGAGGUGAGCGGAACUUAGGGUGGAGCGGUGAAAUGCGUUGAUAUCCUAAGGAACACCGGUGGCGAAAGCGGCUCACUGGGUAUUUUCUGACGCUGAGGCACGAAAGCUAGGGGAGCAAACGGGAUUAGAUACCCCGGUAGUCC
rnacentral:rRNA from 1 species